rnacentral:tRNA from 1 species
GGGUUGUAGCUCAGUGGUAGAGUGCUUGCUUCCCACACAUGAGGCCCUGGGUUCAAUCCUUAGCACUCA